AAAUUGAAGAGUUUGAUCAUGGCUCAGAUUGAACGCUGGCGGCAGGCCUAACACAUGCAAGUCGAACGGUAACAGGAAGCAGCUUGCUGCUUCGCUGACGAGUGGCGGACGGGUGAGUAAUGUCUGGGAAACUGCCUGAUGGAGGGGGAUAACUACUGGAAACGGUAGCUAAUACCGCAUAAUGUCGCAAGACCAAAGAGGGGGACCUCGGGCCUCUUGCCAUCGGAUGUGCCCAGAUGGGAUUAGCUUGUUGGUGGGGUAACGGCUCACCAAGGCGACGAUCCCUAGCUGGUCUGAGAGGAUGACCAGCCACACUGGAACUGAGACACGGUCCAGACUCCUACGGGAGGCAGCAGUGGGGAAUAUUGCACAAUGGGCGCAAGCCUGAUGCAGCCAUGCCGCGUGUAUGAAGAAGGCCUUCGGGUUGUAAAGUACUUUCAGCGGGGAGGAAGGGAGUAAAGUUAAUACCUUUGCUCAUUGACGUUA
rnacentral:rRNA from 1 species